ACCCCCUCCCUUCCUCCAAAUUACUUCACUCCCAAGUCCCAUCCUUUCCCAUCUCUCUCCCCUAUUUGAUCCCUACACUCCCACCACCACUCAAGAGAGAGAAAGCAAAAGAGUAAAGAGAGAGAAUGAAAGUUGUAGAGAGAGAAGUAAAGUAAACUCCCAACUCCCAUCCACUCCCCACCACAACACAAUACAACACAUUUCAUUUCUCAACAGACAAGUUGUCUCCUUUCUUUCACAGAGCGCCAUGGAUUCUCAGAUCUAUGGCCUCCCCAAGCUCCUCCUCCUCUCAAUGCUCCUCCUCACUUGUUCCGCAUUGCCUCAGACUCGCCGUACCACUCCAAAACACUCUUCUUCAUCUUCCUCUUCUCCAUCCAACUCAGUCCCAAUCAACUCAAAUUCAGUCCUCGUCGCCCUCCUCGACUCCCAUUACACCGAGCUCGCCGAGCUUGUUGAGAAAGCCCUCCUCUUACAAACCCUCGAAGCCACAGUAAACAACCACAACAUCACCAUCUUCGCACCCAAAAACGAAGCUCUUGAGCGCGACCUCGACCCCGAGUUCAAACGAUUCCUCCUCGAACCCGGCAAUCUCAAGUCCCUCCAAACCCUCCUUCUCUUCCACGUCAUCCCAACUCGUAUUGCCUCUCACGACUUACCCAAAUCACUCACUGAGUCGACUCGCCACAAGACUCUCUCCACCGACCAUCUCAAUCUCGGAACCAAAGACUCCGGCGAGAUUCUCGUCGAUCUAGCCAAGAUCAUCCGCCCAGACGACGUCGUUCGCACCGACGGCGUCAUCCACGGGAUCGAACGCCUGUUAGUGCCCAGAUCUGUACAAGAAGAUUUCAACCGAAGAAGGAAUCUCCGGUCGAUCUCUGCGAUUCUACCGGAGGGAGCACCGGAGGUGGACCCCAGAACCCACCGGUUGAAGAAACCGGCCAGUCCGGUUCCCGCCGGAGCUCCUCCGGUGCUACCCAUUUACGACGCGAUGGCUCCGGGGCCGUCUCUGGCUCCGGCUCCGGCGCCGGGACCCGGAGGACCUCACGGGCACUUCGACGGCGAGAGCCAAGUCAAGGAUUUCAUUCAGACUCUUCUGCAUUACGGUGGGUACAAUGAAUUGGCUGAUAUUUUGGUGAAUUUAACUUCGCUUGCGACUGAGAUGGGUCGGCUAGUAUCAGAAGGGUAUGUAUUGACUGUUCUAGCUCCCAAUGAUGAAGCCAUGGCUAAGCUGACUACUGAUCAGCUGAGUGAGCCGGGUGCGCCGGAGCAAAUUGUGUAUUAUCAUCUUAUACCGGAGUAUCAGACGGAGGAGAGUAUGUACAAUGCGGUUCGGCGGUUCGGGAAGGUCCGGUACGAUACGCUGCGAUUGCCGAUGAAAGUUAUGGCGGAGGAGGCUGAUGGGUCGGUGAAAUUUGGGCAGGGUGAUGGGUCUGCGUAUUUGUUUGAUCCGGAUAUUUAUACAGAUGGGAGGAUUUCGGUGCAGGGGAUUGAUGGGGUUUUGUUUCCGCCCGAGGAGUCGACACCGGCGACGAAAGUUGCUCCGGUGGCUAAGGAAGUCGCGAAGCCUCGCAGAGGGAAGUUGAUGGAAGUAGCUUGCAAUAUGUUGGGGGCUUUUGGGCAGGGUUCCCAUUUCACAAGCUGUCAAUGAACUCUUUCACUUUUUGGGGGAGAAGAAGCAAAACCCUAAAGAAAGAAAAAUGAAAACACAAAAAGUUGUAGGAUGAUGAGUGACUUGUCUAUUCCACUGCCCAGUGCCCAACUAGAUAAAGGGAGGGGGUGCUUGCAUUUAAGUAUUUCCUCAUAAAAACCCACAGAAGAGAAGCUUUCUUUCUUUUUCUUUUCUUAUUUUGUUACAAGUACUGUAAUUACAUAUCAUUUUUUUUUCUUGUAUGUAUUUGUUUGGCCGACACUGUAUGCACAAAUGAAUGAUGUUUGAAGAAUAAUAAUAAGUCCCUCUUUAAUCACAA